rnacentral:rRNA from 1 species
UACGUAGGGUGCAGGCGUUAAUCGGAAUUACUGGGCGUAAAGCGUGCGCAGGCGGUUUCUUAAGUCAGAUGUGAAAGCCCCGGGCUUAACCUGGGAACUGCGUUUGAAACUGGGAGACUUGAGUGUGGUAGAGGGGGGUGGAAUUCCACGUGUAGCAGUGAAAUGCGUAGAUAUGUGAAGGAACACCGAUGGCGAAGGCAGCCCCCUGGGCUAACACUGACGCUCAUGCACGAAAGCGUGGGGAGCAAACAGGAUUAGAUACCCUGGUAGUCCACGCCCUAAACAAUGUCAAAUGGUUGUCGGGAGAUUAACUCUCUUGGUAACGAAGCUAACGCGUGAAGUUGACCGCCUGGGGAGUACGGCCGCAAGGUUA